AGGGUUUGAUCCUGGCUCAGAUUGAACGCUGGCGGAAUGCUUUACACAUGCAAGUCGAACGGCAGCACGGACUUCGGUCUGGUGGCGAGUGGCGAACGGGUGAGUAAUGUAUCGGAACGUAUCCAGUAAUGGGGGAUAACUAAUCGAAAGGUUGGCUAAUACCGCAUACGCCCUACGGGGGAAAGCAGGGGAUCUUCGGACCUUGCGUUAAUGGAGCGGCCGAUAUCUGAUUAGCUAGUUGGUGAGGUAAGAGCUCACCAAGGCGACGAUCAGUAGCUGGUCUGAGAGGACGACCAGCCACACUGGAACUGAGACACGGUCCAGACUCCUACGGGAGGCAGCAGUGGGGAAUUUUGGACAAUGGGCGCAAGCCUGAUCCAGCCAUUCCGCGUGAGUGAAGAAGGCCUUCGGGUUGUAAAGCUCUUUCGCAAGGGAAGAAACGAUGCAGACGAAUAAUCUGUGUUAAUGACGGUACCUUGAUAAGAAGCACCGGCUAACUACGUGCCAGCAGCCGCGGUAAUACGUAGGGUGCAAGCGUUAAUCGGAAUUACUGGGCGUAAAGCGUGCGCAGGCGGUUUUGUAAGUCAGAUGUGAAAUCCCCGAGCUCAACUUGGGAACUGCGUUUGAAACUACAAGACUAGAAUAUGUCAGA
rnacentral:rRNA from 1 species